UCGGAGUGGAGAAGCCGGUUCGAGGGGAGUUGGACUAGAGGCUUGCGAGACGGCGAGCGGACCAGGGAACGUGCGAGAUCGGAACGCCGGGCGAGGCUUGUGCCUCCCCCAAUUCAUACGGCCGAAGUGUCUGAUAGUAUAGAGUAGCUCAAAUGAUCUGUGUUAGCCAUAAAAACUGCACGAGCGCCGUUUUGUAGGAAGCGUGCGAGUUAAGGCGAGGUUUUUAACCCAGAAUUGGGCUGAACUAUGAGUUUACUGAGGUUUAAGGUGGGGCGUCCCUAAGAAGGAUAUUGUGGACUGCAGACUCGUCGGGUUUCUAGUAAGUCCAGAUAUCUGGCAGUAAGUAAAAUCUUAUGUUGUGCCGACCGUUUUCUUAUCGUUAACUGGCGUAUUGAAAUUACGAAACAAAAGGUCUGAUUACUCAAUAUUUAACCAGCCUUGCCUGCUUUGCUGCAGACUAGACGCUUUCUUGUUUUAUUUAACCAUGGCUACUCAUUUAAUGUCUCAUCGGAUAGUAAAACGGAUACAUUAUUGACUCCUAGGUAUACUAGGUAACUAGAACUAAAUUCUUUUUUGAGUGGAGUUGGGGCGAUCCGGCACGCCUGGAAGAUUACAUAAAGCUGACUAUGGAGAAAGUGCCAUUUUUGCUGUCAGGAGAACCACCGCCUUCCACCCCCCCAGCUGCGUAGAUAAAUGUCGGUGUAUAUAGCCUAUAUAAUACUUAAAUAACGCAGGACCUUUUAAUGCAGCGUCCGCACAAAACUUGAACCCCCGCACAGAACCACCAGAUAGCUUUUUUUUUCUGGGACUUUUUCCUGCAAAGUAAGUUGGCACGAACGGUGGGGCUGGACACUUGUUGGUUUGAGGGUUGCGUGUAUCACGGCUGAAAAGCAAGCAGCUAUCGGUAUCGGCGCUCGUAGCCGAGGGCUCUGCGAUCGGCUCGGGUUUAAGUUGCAUUGUGCGCCCGGCCGGCCAUUAUCGGCAGGCGGCGGUCUUGACGCGUCCAGAAAACGCGUCAAGAACAAAAUGUAGCCAGCGCAAUAAAAGCGUCUUAGUUUCCUUCCCUGUUCUUUUGCCAAUGAGCCUCAGAUGAAUGCCGAUUCCUGAUCUAGCGGGGAAACACCCUCGGCGCAGAGAGCCGCCGGUAGUGGGCGGUGCUGCUCCGCUGCCCGUACCUGUCAGUAUGGCACCAACUUCAGCACGAAUCCAACAACGCUCACUUUGUCACUGGCGAUUAUGGAGACUUCUGGAAAACUGGUGCUUCUCAUGGCUGCUAUUCGUGACAGCUCGGCUGCCUUGCUUUUUUAAAUGAAUCAGGUAAGAGGGUUUCAGUCCUCGGCCUGCUUGUCAAUGUAGCCGGCGUCCUCCAUUCGUCAGUUAGCAGCUUCUUUUUAUACAUGUAUGCGCGCUGCAUGACACCAUAUAAUUCGUACUUCACUGCAUGUGUGUUAUAGUAUUUGAUUGCAUUGCAUGGUCAAGUGUAUAUCUCCGCUCGCACCGUGCGGUUGUCACCGCAUGAUUGCUCACUUUCUUAAAUCCUCUACUUAGCCUACAGCGUUUGCGGUCAGUGAAUUUAGAGUAAUGAAGGCGUCCGCUUGCGACUCGUUGAUGGUGGAAGCUGUUCCGGUUUGGGUAACUAAGUAACUAGUUAGCGGAGUAAGGCGAUCCGCGUGUAGGGACAGCCAGGCGAAUUCCAUAAGGCCACACCCUGUUUAAUGCGAUCUACCCGAAGCACCCCCUUUCCUUUUUUUCAAGAAGUUUCUCGUUUCCGUUUCUCUUUUUUUUGGUCUAUGGUUUUUUUUCCACUUAGAUGUUAUCUCCAAAACCCCUUUUAAAAUACAAACGACGAUUAAACGAUUUUAACGAAAACCCGCCGCACCUAUCCUGGAGGACCCGCUGUUAGCCUUUCAAUGUCGCUCCUGCGGAUCAAGGUAAAUCGGUUUUCCCCGAUUAACCUUCCGUUUCGUGGCCCCCUGCACCUCCUAGGCACGUUUCUUGAGCCGAAGAAACCCACGAUCGCAGACCGGGGGUCGCAUACUGUGGUUCCUCCGUCAGAGAUGCGCAGAUACUGCGUGUUAACGUGACGCUACAUGUCCUGCGCAGCCGGUGAGUGGGAGGCGCAGACGGCGUGUGUGUGCGCGUGCGCGCGCGUGUGCGUGCAUGUACACACGUCUUGGCCGAGUCGCGGCAGUUCUUCACUGGCGAGCUUUAUGUCCAUGUAUAACUGCUAAAGCUGCCCGCUGAAGAACUGUUGUGAUUGGCUCCUCCCUGCGCCUGUCAAGAGGAGGAGCCUGUCAAUGAGGUUUAUGGGGGGUGGGGGUGGCGGCUUCUCUGGAAAGGGGUCCCACUCCUAUCCUAUCCUUGGGUAAAAGUGUGUCCCUUACUGGUGGGAGGUCCACUCGACAAGUCUCACAGAGGAACUUGAUUUGGGACACUGGUCCAGCGCACUGCUCUCCAGCCUGACCUGCUGAUAUUUCUUGUCUUUCCAAAUAGUGCCAAUAAACUCUACAUCCACAUCC